rnacentral:rRNA from 1 species
GACGAACGCUGGCGGUGUGCUUCACACAUGCAAGUCGAACGAGGUAGCAAUACCUAGUGGCGGACGGGUGAGUAACGCGUGGAAUCUGCCUUUAGAUGGGGGGAUAACGGGUCGAAAGACUCGCUAAUACCGCAUAUGACGAAAGUUGAAAGGAGUAAUCCGUCUAAAGAUGAGCCCGCGUCCGAUUAGCUAGUUGGUAGAGUAAAAAGCCUACCAAGGCGACGAUCGGUAGCUGGUCUGAGACGGAUGAUCAGCCACAAUGGGACUGAAGACACGGCCCAUACUCCUACGGGAGGCAGCAGUGGGAAUUUUACGCAAUGGGCGAAAGCCUGACGUAGCGACACCGCGUGAGCGAAGAAGCCCCUUGGGGUGUAAAGCUCUGUCAGCUGGAACGAAAAAAUGACGGUACCAGCAGAGGAAGCAUCGGCUAACUACGUGCCAGCAG